rnacentral:rRNA from 1 species
CCUACGGGGGGGCAGCAGUAGGGAAUCUUCCGCAAUGGACGAAAGUCUGACGGAGCAACGCCGCGUGAGCGAAGAAGGUCUUCGGAUCGUAAAGCUCUGUUGUUAGGGAAGAACAAGGACGGGAGGAAAUGACCGUACCUUGACGGUACCUGACGAGGAAGCCACGGCUAAAUAGGUGCCAGCAGCCGCGGUAAUACGUAGGGGGUAAGCGUUGUCCGGAAUUAUUGGGCUUAAAGCGCGCGCAGGCGGCCUUUUAAGUCUGAUGUGAAAUCUUGCGGCUCAACCGCAAGCGGUCAUUGGAAACUAGGAGACUUGAGUGCAGAAGAGGACAGCGGAGUUCCAGGUGUAGCGGUGAAAUGCGUAGUAAUGUGGAGGAACACCAGAUGCGAAGGCGGCUUUCUGGUCUGUAACUGGCGCUGAGGCGCGAAAGCAUGAGGGGCAAACAGGAUAAGAUACCAGAGUAGUC